rnacentral:tRNA from 1 species
GCCCCCGUAGCUCAGCGGAUAAGAGCAGCGCCCUUCUAAGGCGUUGGCCGCUGGUUCGAAUCCAGCCGGGGGCA